CAGCAGCCGCGGUAAUACGGAGGGCGCGAGCGUUAAUCGGAUUUACUGGGCGUAAAGCGUGCGCAGGCGGCCCGUUAAGACAGGUGUGAAAUCCCUGGGCUCAACCUAGGAAUUGCGCUUGUGACUGGCGGGCUCGAGUACGGUAGAGGGGGGUGGAAUUCCUGGUGUAGCAGUGAAAUGCGUAGAGAUCAGGAGGAACACCGAUGGCGAAGGCAGCCCCCUGGGCCUGUACUGACGCUCAUGCACGAAAGCGUGGGGAGCAAGCAGGAUUAGAUACCCUGGUAGUCCACGCCCUAAACGAUGGGUACUAGCCGUUUGGUGCGCGAUAGCGCUGAGUGGCGAAGCUAACGCGUGAAGUACCCCGCCUGGGGAGUACGGCCGCAAGGUUGAAACUUAAAGGAAUUGGCGGG
rnacentral:rRNA from 1 species